GACGAACGCUGGCGGCGUGCUUAACACAUGCAAGUCGAGCGGUAAGGCCCUUUCGGGGGUACACGAGCGGCGAACGGGUGAGUAACACGUGGGUGACCUGCCCUUAGCUCUGGGAUAAGCCUGGGAAACUGGGUCUAAUACCGGAUAUGACUCCAUGACGCAUGUUGUGGGGUGGAAAGCCUUGUGCGGCUAGGGAUGGGCCUGCGGCCUAUCAGCUUGUUGGUGGGGUGAUGGCCUACCAAGGCGACGACGGGUAGCCGGCCUGAGAGGGCGACCGGCCACACUGGGACUGAGACACGGCCCAGACUCCUACGGGAGGCAGCAGUGGGGAAUCUUGCGCAAUGGGCGAAAGCCUGACGCAGCGACGCCGCGCGGGGA
rnacentral:rRNA from 1 species